GUGACCUUUGACCCCUGCGAGAAAGAUGUUAGUCUCACAGGGUCAAAGGUCAGCAUCAUUUUCACAUUCGUCAGUAGCUUUUACUGUCCGUCUGGCCGGUUACAACGUAGACGACUCCCCUGUCGGGGGGUCUGUGUGGACGCGAUGAACCGCACGCCGUGAUUGUACCGUCAUCACAACAAGUCAAGACUUUCACCCAGUGGACGACCGGGCCCGGUUCCUCUACGUGGCUGACUGAGUUAAACGGAUCAUUUUCAGGAUGAGAUGACGUAGUUCAGGCUUUUUGGUUCCCGGAGAAGGUUUGUCUAAAUCACCACAUCACCACAUGGAAACACCUGAAGCUGCUCCGGUUCAUCUGAGCUGCUGGAUCAGUUCAUCUCUCCUCACUGAUGAAGGAGCGACAUCAGUUAGAUGAACGUUUUAUAGGGAGAGACUUCUAUGACAUCACAGAGACCCGUUAUGACGUCACCAUGACGUCCUGUACGAGCGCCGCAGAUGCUGAGGACCAGAACCACUUAUCUACAAGAAGAAUUCCCUGAGCUGAGCGUCCACUGUCCCACGGACUGUCUCUAUACGGUCUCACACACUGUCUCUAUACGGUCUCACACACUGUCCCACGGACUGUCUCUAUACGGUCUCAUGUCUCGCAGUGUCAGACACAUGAAGCCUCCUGCCAGCAGACACAUUUAAAUAUAAUGUGAUUGAUUAGAGUGACGAGGCCCUUAAAUGAGCGUCACAUUUGACCGACACGCGUAACGUUACCUUGUGUGAUACUUUGUGGGGCUUGUAGCCUCCAGGGGGCGCUGUCAGUCUUUAACAUCAUCAUAGGAUUCAUCUCAUGUCAUUUUGUAUCACAAAUGUGCCUCAUGUGUCUCUACAGUGUGAACACAUGUGAAUAAUACGUUAAAUUCAUCCGACAGAAAUGAUUCAAAUGAACAUGUUAUCUGCUCAUGUGUUCAUGAUCAUCUCCUGCUCUUCCUUUAAGUUUAUUCACCGUCAUACUGUUAAAAAUCCUGGUUUCUGUGAUCGACUCUUCCGCCUUCUGACGUGAGACGAUUAUCCUGAUGAUUGACAUCUGGUUCAAACUAACGAGACGUUUGAGCGCCGAUCCGCCUUCGAGGAACCGAGACAGUCUGAUGUCAAUCAUCUCGGUAACCUGAGCUGGGUAACGGGACAUUUGAUGGACUUAGUUGAACCACGUACGAGGAACAGGGUCCUGAUCUCUAUCGGAGGAGAAAAGUGGAAUGAUGAACACCUGAAGUAAACAAAGUCGACUCAACAGAACAUCUUUUAUUAAAAUAUUAAACUUUAAAUUCGGGGCACAAAAGCGGCACCUCAGUCACACAACGGAGGGCGUAGAGAGGUCAGUGAAGUGCGCACUGCCCAACAGAAACAAAGCAGGUAAAACAACAGCUGGAGGUCACCUGAGGGACAAACAUAAGCUCUCCAGAUCCAAAUGAACACUGUAUCCAACCAGUGGGAACGCUGACCUCUGGCUCCGCCCCCCUCAAUCCCAGUUUGUCGGGCCUGUCAUGGACAUGUAGUCGUCCAGCUCGGCGUCCAGGCGGCUCUUGGUCAUGGACAUGUACUCGUCCAGCUGUGCGUCCAGGCGGCUCUUGGUCAUGGACAUGUACUCGUCCAGCUGUGCGUCCAGCUGCUGCUUCGUCGGAAUGCAACCUUUGCUCAUGCACCGCCUCCCAGAGGAAAUGACCCCGCCCAUCUGCAGGUGUGUUCGUCCUGAAAAGGGUACAUGAAUGACAUGUUGCGCAUGUUUGCGUCCCAUACGUGAUGAAGACUGAGCCCCUCAGAGCGCAGUGAGCGUGAGCACAGGUGGGAGCGCAGGUGGGACAGUAUUAAGUACGUUUGAUCCACUUACUGAUCAUUUUGUGGAUCUUUGUCAUCCUCACAAGGCGACGCUUCCUGAGUCGUCUGUGAAUGUUUCCUGGUUCUGAACAGGAGGCACAUGUACAGGUGUAGCUACAGGCGAAGAAGGCAACAAAAACUACCACCAGGUACUUACUUCUGCAGGUGGAGGCGAAGCUGGUUCUCCACCUGUACUUGUUCAUGAAGCUCCAGAAGCCUGGAGGUCUGGACGUGCCCUGAUGCCAGCCGAGUCGAGUCCAGACGUUCCCCCUCCUGGAGCGCUGCCCCACAGACGGGUCAGGACGGGGAUCAGAGGGUUAACCAGGGAGGAGCUGUGCACACCUGGAGAAACCCCUCCCACAUCUACACCUGUGUGACUCACCGGCAGGCGGAGCGACCGUGACCUCUGCGUCUCCACCAGCAGCAGCGUCUGUGGGGGGACGCACCCCUCCUGCUGCCGCAGCAUGACCGGGUCAAAGGUUACACUUCUGGACCGGCUCCUCUGGUCUACCAACACCUGAGAGAAGCUACAGCAGAGUCUCACCGCUCGUCCAGAGACACUGUCGACGUACUUCUUGGGAAAAACGAGCUUGUUUCGGAUGAAUCUGUCGGCUGCGGUUCUCCGCGACUCAUCCUGCCGGCGCGCUGUGACGCAGAGCCGAGUCCGUGUACCUGCGCGAGGACCCGCACGCGCCGAUCGACCAGGACCCGCACGCGCCGAUCGACGAGGACCCGCACGCGCAGAUCGACCAGGACCCGCACGCUGAUCGACCAGGACCCGCACGCGCCGAUCGACCAGGACCCGCACCGGAUGCCCGUGAGGACGAACACGAGCUGUUCCCGUGAGCCUACCUGCCCUUUGACCUCUGCAGCAUUAAGUAAAAGGUGUAUUUAAGGGGAAUGAUGACAGCCGAGUUUGAGAGAAGAACUUAACGAGUCCACAUGUGUGAACCU
ensembl:lncRNA